rnacentral:rRNA from 1 species
AGUGAACGCUGGCGGUGGGCCUAAUACAUGCAAGUCGAACGAACGCACAGUAAGCUUUUGCUUUUGAGGGUGGCGGGUGGCGGAUGGGUGAGGCAUGCAUAGGCUACUUCUUUUUCGUGGGUGAUUACGGAGAGCCGCUUAUGAUACUACCGCAUACGUUGUACGGGUGGGAGCAGGAGUUAUUGGGAGUUUGCCUGACUGUUUGAGACGGAGUCGGAUUAGCUAGUUGGCGAGGUAAGGGCCCACCAAGGCGACGAUCCGUAGCUGAUCUGAGAGGAUGAUCGGCCACACUGGAACUGAGACACGGUCCAGACUCCUACGGGAGGCAGCAGUAGGGAAUAUUCCGCAAUGGGCGCAAGCCUGACGCAGCCAUGCCGCGUGAGUGAUGAAGGUCUUCGGAUUGUAAAACUCUGUUAUUAGGGAAGAAAAACAGUGUAAGAAUCCCCCCCCGUUCUGACGGUACCUAAACAGAAAGCACCGGCUAACUUCGUG